ACGUUCCAUCAAUCAUUCUAACAAGAUCUUUAUGUAGAAGAUCUCUUGGGAGAAGUGAUCAUAGAAGACGUUCCUUCAUGGUUCGGAGGCUUCGACUUCGAAUUCGGAUUCAGGGCUCCUGCCACUUACGUAGUACUUUCGCUUUAGGGCUUUAGCUAUCUUCACAGGCCUCGACAUAUGGGCCUCGGCUAGUUUCAUAGGCCUCAAUAUAUGGGCCUCGACAUGAAGGACCUUGGUCAUACAUGCCACCUCGGUUAGAGCGCCACGUGGUUCGAAUUGAGUGGGCCAUAGGCCCAAGUAGAUUGACCAAGUAUGACAACACGUAACAAUGUAUACUAGCUAUACUGAUUGAAAUCAUCAUUUAAACCAAGAGCUAACACAUAUCGAUUAAAUUAAUAUCUUCUACCUUUCUAAACACCCAUUUAGAUAAAGCAAAUGUGCAGAUACACUGGAAGAAAUCAAAGCCCAAUAAUAACCCCUACAAAAUCUAGAAUUUUCAAUAAAAGAAGAGACGUUAUCGAACUCCAUUUAUUAACUCUCCUUUCAAAUGUAAAAACAAACAACAAUGAAAAGUAUGGAGUAAAAUGUAUUGAACAAGAAUUACAACAGCUACAGAAAUUUUGGAAAAAAAAAAUCAAAAAUUUUUGUGGACUCACAUGAUCCCAUGUGGAUCCGCCCAUGGGGAUACAUUUCUUGGCAAUAAAAUUUGUGCCCUAGCAUUGCUUCGUUUAAAACACCUGUACAGACUUUAAUGCUGAAAUAGCUCUAGUAUUUCUGUUGCUACUGGGUGGAAUUUUCUUUUUCAACAGGUAUCUGGACCUAUGGUUUUUGCUAAUGGAAUGGCAGGAGCUGCUAUAUGUGAAUUAGUUCGUGUUGGAAAUGACAUUCUUUAACUUGAAGAGUUGAGAUGAUUCUAGGUUUAUUUAUACCUAUUUGCCCAUUUUUGCAAGCCAUAUCAGUGAAAUUGGGUCCUGGAAUAUUGGGAAACAUCUUUGACGGUAUUCAGAGGCCUCUAAAGACAAUUGGAAAACGAUCGGUGAUGUCUAUAUUUCUCGUGUUGUAUCUGUCCCAGCCCUAGACAAAGACAUUCUUUGGGAAUAUCAACCUACAAAAUUGGGUACCUGGAAACUGAUCGGCUUUGUUAUUUUAGUGUUGAUUCCAAUGGUUUUCGUGCAUAUUAUUAGUAAUGCAUUGCAACUUGGUGAAUCUUGUUAUUCUAAUAUAAUUUUGUGAUGGUAGGAGAGAGAGAUAUUUUAACAGGUGGAGAUUUAUAUGUGGUGAGUUUGACAAAACUACGUAGAAAUUUAAGAACUUCACGAAACCUA